rnacentral:piRNA from 1 species
UCUUGGAAAAUGCAACAUUGGGGCAAGAAGU